AAGAGCCCAGCGCUAAAUCUUGUCGCUCUAACGGGUGAUGAGAAGUGUAGCGUAUAGUAGGCGAUUUUCCUUGGUGGUUGUCGACUUAAAUUCUCCUUGACUGGGGUUCCAGAGAAGGUGAAAGGCCUGUUCAGUCGAUGACCGUCUUGGAUUCCGUUCUACUUGGAGUCGGGUUGUUUGGGAACGCAGCCCAAAUUUGGUGGUAAACUUCAUCUAAGGCUAAAUACGGCCACGAAUCCGAUAGCAAACAAGUACCGUGAGGGAAAGUUGAAAAGUACUUUGAAGAGAGAGUUCAAGAGGACGUGAAACCGGUAGGAUGGAAACGGAUAGAGCCAAUGAACAAGCCCGUAUUCAGCUAGUCGUCUGCGUGCGGCUCGGCUUACCGCCUCUGUAUGGGGGUGGUGGUUGGGUGCGGCAUGCGGUUGGCUAGUGCAUUUGCGGGUGAUGUGCGCUGAGGCGUGUGAUCGAGUCCUGCGAACCAACAUUAGAGGACCAAGCUUCGGCUYGGAAACCUGGUGGCGGGUAGUAGUGGUCAUGGUUGCACGUAGAUAAAACGGCUAGGCGAUUGCGCGCUGCCGUGUUAUGGAGCUUAGCACACUGGUCGGUCGCGUGCGACUUGGCYUUUGUGUUGGUCCCCGUAGCGCGGUAGCGCUCUAGCYGAUCCUCGGUGUAAAAGUUGGUCAUCUCUCCGACCCGUCUUGAAACACGGACCAAGGAGUCUAGCGUAUACGCGAGUCAUUGGGUGGUAAACUCAUAGGCGUAAUGAAAGUGAAGGUUCAGCAAUGGACUGAUAUGCGAUCCGUUGGGCUUCGGCCUACGCGGAGCAGCAUAGCCCCGUCUCAACUGCAUGCAGUAGGGCGGAGGCAGAGCGUACGCGCUGGUACCCGAAAGAUGGUGAACUAUGCCUGAGCAGGAUGAAGCCAGAGGAAACUCUGGUGGAGGUCCGAAGCGCUUCUGACGUGCAAAUCGAUCGUCUG
rnacentral:rRNA from 1 species